rnacentral:lncRNA from 1 species
AUUGUAAGGAGAGUUUAUAGGCUUUAAAAGGCCAUGCUGUAGCAGGCGAGUGAUAACAGGCUUUAAUCUUUUUAAAGCAUGCUGCGGGAUGGGAUAUUGGCAUUGAGUGGGGUAAGGGUGAUUAGGUUUUAGGUAAGGGGUGCAUGAUCGGUCGCCAAGGAGGGAGUAGAGGUAUCUUAUACUUGUGGGUCAAGGUGGGGGGAUACAGGAGGAGGAUGCAAAGGAGGCUUUGGAUUGGGAAGAAGGGCAGCAAUGAGAUAUAGAUGUGGUCCAGGAAUAGUCAGGGAAGCAGAUAAUUUAGUUAAAGUGUCUCAGCCUAAUAAGGGAACUGGGCAGGUGGGGAUACUAAAAAGGAGUGCUUAAAAGAGUAUUGCCUAAGUUGGCACCAGAGUUGGGGAGUUUUAAGAGGUUUAGAAGCCUGGCCGUCAAUACCUAUAACAGUUAUGGAGGCAAGGGAAACAGGCCCUUGAAAAGAAGGUAAUAUGGAGUGGGUAGCCUCCGUAUUGAUUAAGAAGGGGAUGCACUUACCCUCCACUGUGAGAGUUACUCGAAGCUCGGCAUCUGUGAUUGUCUACAGGGCUUCCGAGGUGACUGGGCAGCGUCAGUCUUCAGCCGCUAAGCCGAGAAGGAGUCAGUCAGAGAGCCUUGGGCCAGAGUUCCAGGGGCUCUGGGAGUGUCUGCCAGACUCUUCAGAGGUUCCUGCUGGGCCUCCCACUGCUCCAGUGCUUUUGAUGAAGCUAGACUAUUCCCUGCAGCAGUUCCUUUUCCCAUGUUUUGGCCUCUGAGGAUCAACAGUACAGCUCUAUCUUCUUUUUGAUGAGAUCUUUAGUCUCUCUUGCUUCAGGUGCCUGGAUGUUGAGGGGCAAAUAGGACUGUUCACUGAAGGAGCUAGAGAAUGGAAGAGAAGGUUGUGUCAGAUAGAAAUAACAGAAGCUUUCUGAAAUGAAAACAGAAAUGUUACAACUUGCACCACAGUACUGGACUGAAACGAAGAUGUAACACAGCCAUAAUAAUUUAAAUUAAUAGCAAAUAAAUAAAGAAAAAAAGAACUUCAUUGUGAGGACCAUAGUCAUGGGAUAGCUCUGUCUUUUCGGGGAAAGUGGAGUAGAGGGACAGAGUCACCCCAGGAGAAAAAAUGCUUAAAUUAAGACUCCCUGAGAGACUGAAUAAGAGUAUGAUUAGUUCAGCCUUGCUUUCAUCCUCCACUUCCCCCUCCCACUGUAGACUUCAGUUUUAAUAAUGAUUAAAGAAUAAUGCCUGAAUCCCAUCUGAAUGGCUUUUGAGAUUUAACUCACUGAAUCUAUUCAUAGCUUUGAGCUUGUAAGGGGGACUGAACAGAUCUGCACAACUAAUCGUGGAAUAUUACACUGAUACUUCAUCUCCCACAUCAAUACCAAUUACGCCUGCACAGAGAGCAUCACAUAUUAUUUUAAUAGGAUAGGAAUUUUUAAUCCAGUCAGGUAGUUCUGGAUGAAUGUGUUUGUAUGUCUGUCAUUAAAAUUUGGUGGCUCAUGCUGCUCAAGACAGACACAUUUUGAAUGUUUAAAAUUUCCACAGAUGUUAUUUAUCCAUCAGGAUGGAAAAUUUCCUGCUCUCCAGUGUAUAGAUUCUGCCUCAUUAACAUAAAUAAAGAAUAAGGCAUAACAACAACAAUCUUGCUUAAUGUGUACACACAGAAAUAUUGUCAUAGGCAUCUGGCAAUCAGUUGGAGACGGUGAAAACUGCUAAAUGAAUGAAAGUGGCAGAACUAGCAGAAGUAUGAGAUCCCAUACUGGAGAAAAAGGCUCACUGUUAAAAUAUUUUGUUUCUUUGUUCUACUCCUUUUUUAUUUUCAAGGCAUUUUAUUCAGCUUGGACCUUCAGAUAAAAG